AGUAGCACGUGGGUAACCUGCCUAAAAGAAGGGGAUAACACUUGGAAACAGGUGCUAAUACCGUAUAUCUCUAAAGAUCGCAUGAUCUUUAGAUGAAAGAUGGUUCUGCUAUCGCUUUUAGAUGGACCCGCGGCGUAUUAACUAGUUGGUGGGGUAACGGCCUACCAAGGUGAUGAUACGUAGCCGAACUGAGAGGUUGAUCGGCCACAUUGGGACUGAGACACGGCCCAA
rnacentral:rRNA from 1 species